CGCGUAGGCGGUCGGUCAAGUCGGUUGUGAAAGCCCUCGGCUCAACCGAGGAACUGCAUCCGAUACUGAUCGGCUAGAGUAUGGAAGGGGAGAGUGGAACUCCUGGUGGAGCGGUGAAAUGCGUAGAUAUCAGGAGGAACGCCGGUGGCGAAAGCGACUCUCUGGUCCACAACUGACGCUGAGGCGCGAAAGCCAGGGGAGCAAACG
rnacentral:rRNA from 1 species